UUUUUUUUUUUUGUUUUUUAAAAAGGGAAGAUUAGUUGAGAAUGAGGAAGGAAACAGUAGUAAUAACCGGCGCCGUUCACUCCCCUAAGAAUGCGUAUUAGGGUUUGGUUUAGAGUUUAAAUAAGGAAAAUCAAAAGUUGAAAAUUUUGGAGGGAAAUCAAAAUUUUGUAGGUUUUUUAAGUGAAAUGAAGUGCUCCUCCUCUCUCUCUCCAUCUGCGCAUGUCUUCCUUGGCGCAGUGUUUCGGAAAAUGGGAAAACCAAUCAAUCAGCUGCAAAUUGGAUAGUGGAACCUGGGUUUUGGACACCCCACAGCACACUGUUUCUUUCUAAUACUUCAAUCUUAUUAAAAUUAGAAAUAUUUUAUCUAUUUGAGAAAAAAAGGGAGAGUUUAAUAUCUUCAGCUGUUUUUCAGAAUGUUCAGUUUUUGUAUGAAACACUUAACUCUUCAUGGUUUGAUGUAAAAUAUAGAGAAAAUUAAUUUGAAAAAGUUGUACAAAGAUUGGGGGAUGAAUUAGUAAAUUAAUGCUAUCUCUACCCCACCCAUUUGAUUUAGCCUCUUUCUCCCCCUCUCUCAAUUUCCUCCCUCUACUAACACCAUUCAUUUCUCUCUCAAACCUACUAUUAAUUCUCUCUCUCUUAACUUCGACCUUUUAAUCCAUAGACAAUGGUGGAAUUUUAAAACUUUUACAAUUUAACCUUUUAUAGAUAUAUUAUAGUGCUCCAAAAAACAUAAGUAGGCCUCUCAAGAUUUAAGAUUUUUGUAAUUUCGUCUUUUAUAUAUAAACUAAACUAUUCAUGAUACUUAACUUUCUUCUUCAUAUUUGUGCCAAGCAAGUCAUUUUUUCUCAAAAUUUUUGAUGAAAAAUUAUUAGGAGACGAUUUCUAACUUGUUAGAAGUGUAAAAACGAAACACAAAUAGCUAGAUAAUGUUAUGGUAAGUUUGAGCCAAAGUAAAGGGGAGGAAGAAAAUAUCGGUCACUUUGUUGAAAAUUUAGUCAAAUGACAGUUUGUGAAGCAGUAAGUAUUAUGGUGAAAAUAAAAUAAAAAAUGACUAACCAAUUCGAAAAUUAUGUGAAUUUCGGAUCAAGAAACUGUGAAAAAUAUACUUGUUUUAUUAUUAUCAAAUUUGGUUGAUUUUGGAUUACCCUGAAUUGGUCAAAUUUGGAUUGAAUCGAUUGUUAUGUUGAAAUAUUUUGUCAUGUUGGAAUAUUACUUCUUUUGAAUCGGUUGUUUAUAUGUUUAAAAUAAUUGUUAUGUAGGAAUACUAUUUUUUUAAUUGACUGUUUACAUGUGUAAAUGGAUUGUUAUGUAAUAAUACUACUUCUUUUGAAUCAAUUGUUUAUACGGUUAAAUCGAUUGUUCUGGUGAAAUAUUGCUUCUUCUUCUUUGGAAUAGAUUGUUUAUAUGUUUAAAUCGAUUAUUAUGUUGGAAUAUUGCUUCUUUUGAAUAGAUUGUUUAUAUAUUUAAAUUAAUUGUUAUAUCGGAAUAUUACUUCUUUUGAGUUCAUCGUUUAUAUGUUUAAAUUAAUUGUUAAAAAACACGUGUAAUUUUAGUUCAACUCCCUAAAAUUAAGCUCCCCACUGGCCAUAAAAUUAAUCUAAGCCAAAAAGUUCAACUUACUGCCCAAUGGUGUAUUGGGAUUAUAGCUAGUUUUGGAGCUUCUUUCCCUUUCAACUUACACGUGUUUUUGUAGAUUAUGGGAUUUUUCUCAAAAAAAAAAACAAAGGUUACAAACAAUCAUGAAUAGCAGUAGCAGUAAAUGACACCAAAAUCCUAGCUCCACCUCCCACGACCAAGUAAGAGGAAAUCACAAACCAUUUCACGCCAUAUUUUUAGCCUUCUGGAUUCACUCAAAAUUAUUUCCAAUGCAUAAUUUGUUUCUAGCCUUUUUUAUUAUUAUUUAUGUAUAAAGUCGUUGCGUUGUCUUUAAUUGGUGGUUGGUUUCUUUUAGGAGUGUGAAUUUUUUUUUUAUUAUAAAUUUUAUAAUGUUUGUAUAUUUUGAAUUACAAAGUAAAAAUUGAACGAUAAAUACGACUAGUACGACUCGAAUUCAAGUCAUACUUGGAGCGGUGAACACCCUUAACCAUCAAAUCAUCUCAUAAAAUUUUAAUGUUUGUGUAUUUUAACCUUGAAUUUAUUAAUAGUGAUGUAUCUCUUAAGCAACAAUUUUAUUUCCCAGAAUAAUAGGUGGAGAUAACUAAUGGUCCGGCCUUUAUGGUUUCUUAAAUGCUAAUUCAAAAUCUAUUGGAACCACUACGCUAUAAUCACCCGCCUCUUACCUACACGUGCUAAAACAAUGAUUGUUGGAGUUGUUUACCAGGAGAUUCAGGUAAUUCUAGAAGCUGAUCAACUUGUACCCAUUAGUUGUUUAUGUUGUUGUAUUCACUUACAUUUUAAAUUUUCUUAUUACAUCAAAAUUUUAAGUUUAGAUUCGGUUUCGCUCGAAAAAUAGGUUUAUCUUUUUACUUAAAUUCCGUUUAAUUUAAAAAAGGUAAAUUCGAGCUUAAUUUAAUCUACCCAUAUUUCAUUUUUUAUAUUAUUUUGAUUUAAAAUUUUAAAAUAUAUAUAAUACACUCAAUGCAUUAAAAGAACACUAAAUAAAAAUUUUCUAACACAUUAAAAAAUAUUUAUAUUAAAAAAACACUACUAUAAAUAUAAUAAAUAUUUUAUUGUAUUAAAUAUAAUUUUUAAAAUUUUAUAUUUUGGGUUGGGUUAUUUAGUUGGGUAAGUUAUUUUUUUUAGGUUUUAGGUAGUGGGUUUAAUUGUUUUUGAGUUAGUGAUUUAAUAUAAAUAUAAAUAUAUAAUUAUUAUUUAACAUAUAUAAUUAAUAUAAUAUUUUUAAUAACAUAAUAUAUUCGGGCUCGGGCCAAAAAAUAUUGUCCAAGACUCAGCUCAUAUAAAAAACAAGUCUUAAACUUUACCCAAGCUCAUCUUUCAGGCCCCAUAUUUUUGUCCAAACCCUCUCUUUUUUCAAACAGACAUUUGAGCUUGGACGGAUGACCUAGGCCAUGAGCAGAUCUAAUUGUUAACAGUGUAAAUAGUUUCGUUCUUAUAGGAGAAUGAAGUAGCAGACCGCCAAAAUGGUAACAAUGCUCAAGUAGUAAUUUAUAUUUAUACUAUUAAUAAAACUCAUAAUUGUAUUGGUGUCACAGGCUAAUCAUGUACUAAUUUGGUUAGAAAAUUAUAAAAAUAUUUUUUCGUAAUUAAAAUAAAUCAUUAUUAGAGGAUAUUGUAGCCUUUCCAUCUUAACAUAAACCAAAAAUAUAUAUAUACAAACAAUGGGAUUUGGAUCUGCGCCAAUUGAAUUAGAAAAAUUUUAUGUUUACUACUCAACCAAAUCUUUAUUAUAAAUUUUUUUAUGCAAUAUUUUGUUUGAAAGCAAAUAAUUUAUUUCUAAAUUGCUGCUACAAUUUGCUUUAUACACUGCUCAAUUAAUGAUUUUAUAAAGCUGUUUGGCUUUUACAAAGUAGUGAAGAUCAAAUAAUUGUUGUGUAUUUAAUGUAAUACAUGAAUAUUUUGUCAUAUUUAUUGAUUCUUUCUCCAUUCUUGCAGUCAAUUAGGAAACUGAAAUGUGAUCAGAAUCCGAUGAAAGCAGCCAGGAAUCGUAUAGAUGGGGUUAUGAAGCUGUUGGCAACGCGUAAGUGAAAAACUUAAAGAAGAGAUGAUGAAGAUUCAAAGCCUUUCAUGAAUUUGCAUGAAUAAUUAUACUAAUGAACAUAUAAAAGUGAUGAGCACAAUCAACAAACCAAGGUUUCUGACAUAAAAACUAUAACAUAGAUUUAUGGUAUAAACAAUCACAUCCCAUGUUUCAACAUAUUCGUAUGUAAGAAAUACCAACAACAAAGCCACAUAUGAUAUAGACACUAUCACAAACACCAUCACUUACAUAUAAGCAAACCUACAUUAAUGGAAGUGUUAUAAACAUAAUCCAACAAUAAAUGAGAUUAAUAACAUCAUAGCAUGAUUUUGAUUAUGUUAGAAAAUAUGGACAUCACAUAUAUAAUUAAGGUACUUACAUGUUAUUAUUUACUAUCAUAAUAGGUUAGUUCAAAUUAAAAAUUAUCUAAUUUGGUUAUGGUUUAUUGGGCUUCAAUUAUUAAAUAAAGUAUAAGUCAAAUAUGUGUAGAUAUUCUAGUUACUAAUUUCUAAUUGAUGAUGGGCUGAUUAAAAAUUAGGGUUAAUGUGCCAAAAUUAUAUAUGUUAGGUUAUGGUCCCCAAACAACACAUAAGGUAACUUUUCUAAUAUCUCAUCUUUAGAAAAGAGAGAGCUACCUUCUCUAGAUUACUUGUGUCCUAAUUUGGAAUAUCAAAACCCCAAGAUCUGUAGAUUUCAAGAAAUUGAUGAAGUUAGAUAUACUUCUGCAUCAGUUUUUUUUUUAAAUUUAUUCUUGAUGAUUUAAUAUGACAGAUCCUAAUUUACAAUUCUAAUUUUAUAUUAGAUAUUAUUUACGAUUCUAAGAGAUGAUACUAAAAUAUAUACAAGGUCAUAAUCAACUUUCAAUUGAUAGUAGUAACAAGUUGAUAAGUUUGAUAGUAUAGCAUCGACACACACAUAUAUAACCAUUCAUAAAAAAAUUAAAGAAAUGGAAAAAUAAACCAAUAGUCCAAAUUUAUGGACUAAAAUUUCUUGUUCUAUCCAAGCUGCACUAGUGAUUAAAGUGAUCUCCUUUCAGUUGAGUUCAACUCUCUUUUGCUUUUGAAAACUAAUUAUUUGUGUUCGUUGCAAGUCAUAUGAGGCAACGAUGAUAUAUAUGGCUAAAUGGUUUAUCAAAAUUUCCGUUUCUUUUAAUAGAUCGUUAACGUGGCACAUUAACAUAUUGAGUAAUUGGCAUGUAACAUUUUUUUCUUGACUUUUGACUAAAGUUUAGGGGGAAAAAUUUUUGAACUAAUUAUAUGGAGGUCCUUAAACUUUAAUUAAAAGUCAACAAAAAAUGCCACAUGCCAGUCACUCAUUGUACUAAUAUACCACAUCAACAAUUCGUUAAAAGAAAACAUAAUUUUUAGUGGCAUUGACUAAUUCACAUAAUAUCUUAUUUUAGAAUGACUAAAUUGAGAAAAAAAAUUUAGAGUGACCAAAAUAGGACAAACCCUAUUUUAGAAUGACUAUGAGUGUAGUUUACCCUAAAUAUUAUUGUAUAUAUAUUAUAUCUAUCAUUUUAAUGAAUGGGUAAAAGUACCACUGAGGCUCCUGUAUUAGGAAGCAAAUUGGAUUUUACCCCCUGUAACACCCCUAACCCGUAUCCGUCGCCGGAACAAGGUUACAGAGCAUUACCGGAAUAAACAGAUCAAAUAUAGACAUUUCAUAUUAUUUAACAUUCAUAUUAGAUAUUAUUCAUAAAGUCCCUUAUAUGAACCCUCGGAGGCCCAAAACAUACAUUAGAAACAAAUCGAGACUAAACAGGGUACUCAGAGAAUUUUUUGCAAAAUCUUAAAAUUUUUCCAAGGUGCAAGAGACACGCCCGUCUCUUAGGCCGUGUGGACAUUCGAAAUGGGGCACACGGCCGUGUCCCAGCCCGUGUCUAUACUCGUGUAACUCUCUGACUUGAGUCACACGGCCAAGCCACACGCCCGUGUGCCAGGUCGUGUGAUCAAUACUGAACAUUCUGUUUUGUAAUUUUUAAGAUGCAGGGGACACACGGCCAAGACACACGCCCAUGUGCUAAGUCGUGUGUCACACACGGCUGAGACACACGACCGUGUCUCUGCCCGUGUGGACAAAAUAAGGUCAUUUCCAAGCCUUAUUCCUCACCCAAUUUGUCUUCCACCUACAUUCACGCUUUUUCACAUUCACAAAGUAAUACUAACCAUUCAAAUCAAGCCAAAUUCAAGUUCAAUUCAUGUCAAUAUUCCUCAUAUGUUCAAUAUUUUAUCUUACCUAAUUGACCACAUAACAUAUAUGCAUACUUUACCAACCAUAUCAUCUUAAACCAUUCAUUAACAUACCUAUAUAAUUUCUAUCAUUUAUCCAUUUCAAACACACAUCAACUGAUGCGGUCGUUAAAAGCACAAAAAAUAUCCUAUCCCUAAUAAAUAAUGAAAAAGAAUAGUAAAAGGGAAGUAAGGUUAAAUCCUCAGGGACUGGAUUUGCACAAUAUCUUGUUCCAUGAAAUCGCAGGCAGAAUCUUGCCCAAGAAAACUUGCGUUCCUGGAAAAAAAUAAGAAAAUAACAGAAUUAAAGGUUUGGAUUUGGAAAUGAAAAAUAAAACAAAAACAAAAUUAAGAAUAUUAUAUCGAAAAUUCGAGAAAUUAAAAAUAGAGUUGAGAGAAAGAAAAUUCUUAUGGGAGGUUCCAGCCUCCAGUUGUCUCGUUCUACCUUGGGUUCAAUCCUCGGCUUUAGAUAAUCCUUCCCAAACCGAAUAAGCCAAUUAUAGUGAAAGAGGACGCCUAUGACCACCAGCUCCAAUGAUUUAGACUUACGAUUUAGUGGAACUUGACUCUAGCCAACAAUUGCUUCUGUGAGAUUGUCUUGUGCUAGAUCAACGCUUCUCAAUGGCGAAUCUCACACCAUUUUGUCUCUUGGGCUUGCCAACCUUUAACGCAGUAAGCUAACGAACCGACUGUGCAACCUUCCUAAAACAUACAAAACGAUCGCCUUUGCAUACGUUGAAAAGCUUACUUCUUGAGGGACAUAGAUGGAAGCGUCAACCCCGUAGUGCUGAGAAAUGAUGAACACUCGGCGAGGAGGCUAAGCACGGUCUCUAAGCCUCUAUAACCUUUUUUAGGGAAUAUCAACAACCUUCGGCUAGAUGGGUUUAGUGGCUCAUGGUUGUGGUGGAAAAGAAAAUAAAUAAAAUAAAAAUGGAGAUUUUAUUGAAAGGAAAUAUGAGAAUAACAAAAGCCUAGACUUUUGGGGAGAUAGUAUUUACAGAAAAAUAUGGAUGCCUUUUGAGUCACUUCACCCUCUAUUUAUAGUGCUAGGGGAGAUAGUCUAAUCCUACUUAAACUCUCAAAAGAUAAAUACAUUUAAUUAAAGAUAAAUAAAGAUAAAUAAAAUAAAAUCCUAAAAUUAAAUAAUCCUUAGUAAUUAUCUUAAUAUCAAUUAUCCUGAUAUAAUUAAAAUAGAGUCUGAUAGAAUAAAAUCUCUUCUUUUUGCAUUUCAACCCUUGUUUCCUCCAUGCUUGCACUUUUGGCACCAACUUUUCCUUGUGUCGCACAUUGGCCCAUUUUAUCUCUAAAUUCAUGCUUUUGGCCCUUAAUUUUGCUUUUGCCUCAAAUUUAGUCCCUAUGAGAUAAAAGAUCAUAAAUAGCUCAAAUUAGCAGGAUCAUACUCAGAAUAAAUACAUAAUUAAUACAUAAAAAUACGUUAUUCUAGAGUGUUAUCAUCAACAUAUUAAGGCUACUUUUUACUUAUCAAAACUUACCAAUUACAAGUCAUACCAAUGGCUAAUUUCAAUUUUCUACCAAACACAUACAUGCCAUUCUUGACAACUUUUAGCCUAUACGUGCCAUUAUAACCUAAAUUUUAAUUUACUAUUUAUACCGAAAUGAGCUAAUGGAUAGUGUGAAAUAUCUCCGCCAAGCUUCCAAUCCAACGAGUUUCCGAAGUAUUAUAAAACAGAGGAAAUAGAACAGACUAAGCAUUUAAUGCUUAGUAAGUUCAUAUAACAGCAAAAUAAACUUACCAUUCAUUUACAUUUAAAGUAAGCAACAAAAAUACAUCCAAGCAAUUUGUCUAAUAGCCUAAACACACAACUUCACCAAACAUGUUAGUCAUGUAUUUCGUGUGAAUAUCAAGAAUCAGGGAUGAGCUCAUCAAAUAUCAAAUUUCUAUGUGUUUUCAGGUGUGUACAGGUAGUAUCUCAUUCAGAUUUCAUCUUAACUUAUAUCAAAACUUUGUCCGUUGAAGCAUUUGAAAUAUCGAUGGAUACACGGUAAUACACACGAAGUGUACGAAUGUGUAAUUUGUUAAUUCAUAUUCGGAAGUGCUCGUUAAAGCACAUAAUUGGGAAGCCUUCUCUCAAGCCAUAUAACGGGAAGCUUAUGUGAGCCAUGUAACGGGAAGCUUUAUCUAGGCUGUAGAAUAGGAAACUCAUAAGAGCUAUAUUCAGGAAGCUCAUGUGAGCCAAUAACGAGUAGCUCCGAAGAGCCAUUAAUUGGGAACCUCCUGAUAGCCAUAUAUUAGGAAGUUCAAGCGAGCCAUAUUAGGAAGCUCCGGAGAGUUAUUAAUCAGGAAGCUCAAAAAGAGCCUUUAAUCGAGAAGCUCACGAAGAGCCAUAUAACGGGACACUUAUAAGAGCUGCAGUGUGUCCACAACACAUGCAGGAUCACAACUGAUCGGGAUGCUCCGAAGAGCUAUUAACGGGAAGAUCGCAAGAACCAUAUAACGAGAAGCUCAAUAAAUCCAUAUACCAGGAUGCUCAUAAGAGCUAAUAACGGGAUGCUCUUUCGAGCUAUGGUGUGUCUGCAACAUAUGCAGGACCACAACCAAUUUGGGAAUCUUGUAUCCAUCGAAUUUCAUUUAUUCAAACGGAACUUAACAUUUAUCGAGCUUUGUCGGAUAUGUAAUCAAUUUCAUAUAAAUAGCAAUUACACAAUUCACAUAUACAACAUUUAAUUUAAACAUAUAAAUAUGCAUAAUUUAGUUACACGAACUUACCUUAACAAGUGUUCGUUGAUUUGUUGUCUACUAAUCCGACACUUUCUCUUUUUCAUGAUCUAAUUCCGUAUUUUGUCUAUCCGGAUCUAUACGAGUAAAUUUAACUCAAUUUAAUACAAUUCAUAUUCAAUUCACAUCUUAAGCAAAAUUACCAUUUUGCUCUUUUACUUUUAAUUAAUAAUGAUUUCGUCCCUAGGCUCGAAAAAUGAAAUUCAUGCAAUUUAAUCCUUAUUCCAAGCCUAAUCGAUUUUUACAUGUAACAUUAACAUCCCAUGUGUUUCAUAAAAUUUAUAAUUUUUCCAUGAAUUUUACAUCUUUUCAAUUUAGUCCCUAAAUCACAAUUUCAUAAAAAUUCACUUUACAAAAGUUGUUUAUCUAUCAACAACCUUUCAUUUUAUACCAUAAAUUUCAUAAUUCAUGCAUAUUCAUCCAUGACAAAAACCCUAGUACUUUGAUAAUUUUACAAAUUAAUCCCCGAGAUAGCUAAAUUAAGCUUUUACGAUCUCGGAAACAUAAAAAUUACUAAAAAUGGGAAGAAUUCAUACCUAAUUGAGCCAAAACAACUUGCUUGAACUCAACACCUAGAAACUAGGGUUUCCAUGUCUUUCAAUUGGGAAAGAUGAUAUAAAAUGAUGAUAUUAAAUAUUUAUUUUUUUUAUCAUCUUUUAUUUAUUUACUUUCCAAUUUAGUCUUUUUCUUUUCUUAAAUUUCCAUGGAUGAAUCAUCAUACUUAUCUACUAACUCCUCUUAAUGGUCUAUUUACCAUAUAAGGACCUCCAAUUUUGAAUUCCAUAGCUAUUUGAUACUUAUAGCUACUAGAACUCAACUUUUACAUUUCAUGCAAUUUAGUCCUUUUAUCAAUUAAACAUGUAAUUGGUAAAAUUUGCUUAACAAAAUUUUUAUACGGUAUUAUUAUCAUACGGUAAACCAUAAAAUAAUAUUAAAAUAUAUUUUCUUUCAGACUCAGAUUUGUGGUCCCGAAACCACUGUUCCGAUUUAACUGAAAACGGGCUGUUACACCCUCUCUACUUAAAAAUGGAAAAAUUAGCCCUUGUACGUAAGAAAAAAGUGCAAAUUGACCUGUACAAUUGAAAAUUCCAUCGAUGUAUUUUGUUAAGUGAUGCUUUUGCUUUUCAAUUUUUUAUACAAGUGACUUGGAAUUAAAUGAUGAGUAGGAUUAAAUAAAAGCACCAUGAAAGCCCCUGUAUUAGGAGUCUGGUUACAUUUUACCCCCUUUACAAAAAAAGGGCAUAUUAGCCCCAGCACGUUAGAUCAAAUAGCAAACUAACCCUUUUGUUAAAAAUUCUAUACAUUUUUACUAUUAAUGCUCAUAUGGCUAACGGAGGAACUAGCCACUAACACGUGGCGUGCCACAUGCACCUCAUGCUAACGUGACAAUAUUUAAAAAAAAUUAAAAAUCUUAAAAAUAAAUAUAUAAUUUUUAUAAGAGAAAAUAUUUGGUACACAACCAAUGGAGUUUUUAGACUCCACAAGCAGGGGUUAGGGGUUGACCGGUGUUCUAUAAGGGUAUAAUAAAAUAUAAAAUAUAAAAUAUAUAUAUAUAUAUUUAAAAGAAAAAAUUACAUGCCAAUUUUUUAAGGUUGUUAGUGGAAUAAAAAAUUUACUGGUGUACCAAAUACUCACUCCUUUUAUAAUUAUUUAAAAAAGGUUCAAAAUGAUCCUAAACAAAUGGUUAUCCAAACUUGAUUGAACUUGGAUAACCAUUUGUCCAAGUUCAUUCUAGAGUGAUUUCUUAAAUAAAUAUUAAAAAAUAUUUAAUAAUUAUUAAUAAUUAUAAUAAAUUAUAUAUAAUGAUUAAAUUUUUAAAUAAUUUUAAAAAUAUAAAAUAUAUACACAUUUAGCAUGUUAAUAAUUAAAAUAUACUCAUACGCAUGCGUAUCUUCUUAAUCGAGUUGAUAUUUUUAGUUAAUCAAGUUGAUGAACUCUGUUUUGUUAAUUUCUUAUAAUUCUUAAUAAAUUUUAAAUAAAAUUCUAUAAUUAUGUAUAAUUUUGUACAGUUAUUUAAGAAGCAACUCAAUAAUGAGCAUAGACAAUUCAAUAUUUUUAAAUAAUUUUUAAUAAUUUCAAAAAAUAGAAUUUCUUAUAAAUUUAAUAUUUUUGAAAUAAUUUUCUAUAGUGAUUUUUAUAAUUAUUUUAGAAACCACAUCCAAAAUGAACUUGAGAAAACACUUGUUUAGAUUCAUCUUGAAUGUGGCUUUUUAAAUAAUUAUUAAAAAUAUUUAUUUUUGAGAUUUUUUAAUUCUUAAAUAUCGUUGAUGUGACAAAACGUGCAACACCGGGAUAAGGUGCAUGUGACACAUCACGUAUUGCUAUUUGAUUACUUCGUUAAUCACUUCAUCACUUAAAAAUAUAAAUGGAUUGAAUUAUUAAUAAAACGACCAGCUUGUUUUUUAAUCUAAAGUACAGAGACUAGUUUCCCUAAUUUUUUUUUAAUAGAAGGGGCAAAAUGUAAUUUUGACUCAUAGUACAAGAACCUUCAUGAUGUUUUUAUCUAAUCCUAUUCCUCCUUUAAUUCCACGUCACUUACAUAAAAAAAACUUUAAAAAAUAAAAAUCAUUACUUAACAACACAUAUGGAUGAAAUUUUUAAUAGAAUGACCAGGGACUAAUUUACCCUUUUUUAGUAAAAGAACAAAAUGCAAUACGCCUCCUAAUAUAGAGACCUCCAUAAUACUUUUACUUACUUAGUGUAUGUGUUAUAAUGGAGUAUAAUAAAUAUAAACUGCAUACAUAUACAAGUAUAGAAUGUACGAACAUUUUUAUUAUACUAAUUAAACAAUAAUAACUACGAGACAAGAUAAACAAUAAUAUAUAAGCAAGCAUGGGCUUCAAGCUCAAGAUUAAAAUCCGUACAACUCGGACGAAACAUAUCAGAAACUCUUAUGGGUGUCCUUGUAAUUUUUAUGAUAAUAAAAUUAUAUUUUUUAAAAGAUUAAAUUAAAUUUUUUCAUUUUUAGGGAGAACCUUUACUAGUGUCCUUACCACUUCUGAUUAAGUUGCAAGAAUAUUUCUCUUAAGCUACUUAAUUUAAAAUUCCAAAAAGUAGGGCUUAUCUCAAACUUAAACUGCAUCAUUCUAUUCUACAUAUUAAUAAUGGAUACUAGUUUUAUAGAUGAGGGGAUGUAAAUGGCCCAAUCUGCCCGGGCCAUUCAGAAAAUUAAAACCCAACUAAACAAAUUAAAACCAAUUAAAGCCGAAAGUCCAAAAAUAACAAAGUACAUUUAUAAUAAAAAUCCAAUUACAAAUAAAUAAGUCCUAUACAAACCCUACCCUAAAACCUAACAGUAAUCCUAACUCAGCAAACUGAACAGUCCGCGCCGUUCUCCCCACGCAUAGCAGCCACCAGUCGCUCCCACCAUGCGCCUCCAGUUGGCCUUGCACCUGCAACAAGCGCAACAAACGAGCAGAAAAGGAAAGCAAUAACAGAAUAACAGCAAAUAAUAGAGAUUAAAUAACAAAUAAUAUAAAAAAUAUUUUAUGUAAUUUCAUUUUAUUAUAUUCGGCUAUAUAAAGCAUUUUGUAGCACUGUAAAAGGGGACGCACACAAAGAAAUCAAAAAGAGAUUACAAAACCAAAAACGAAGAAAGCAGUAAGAAAUAUAUUAUUUUAGGUGAUUCUUCGAUUUCUAUUAUUUUUUUCUCUCUUCUUUGAUUUGUUUUUUUUUAUUUACAUACGAAUAUAAAAAGGGAAGAGGGAAGGGUCUUACCUACACGAGCGCCGUCGAAACCUCGUCGAUUCCGUUCAAAUCGGUUUAGAUGAGGAAUUUCAGAGUUGAAGCGGCGAAAAUGGAAGAGAAACUUAGUUUUUUUUAGGCCUGUUAAAAGUGAUAAGGACUGUUGUUUUAGGGUUUCAUGUGGUCUUUAUAUGAUGC
rnacentral:lncRNA from 1 species